UGGGGAACAUUGGACAAUGGGCGCAAGCCUGAUCCAGCCAUGCCGCGUGAGUGAUGAAGGCCUUAGGGUUGUAAAGCUCUUUCGCCGACGAAGAUAAUGACGGUAGUCGGAGAAGAAGCCCCGGCUAACUUCGUGCCAGCAGCCGCGGUAAUACGAAGGGGGCCUAGCGUUGUUCGGAAUCACUGGGCGUAAAGCGCACGUAGGCGGAUUGUUAAGUCAGGGGUGAAAGCCUGGAGCUCAACUCCAGAACUGCCCUUGAUACUGGCAAUCUCGAGUCCGGAAGAGGUAAGUGGAACUGCGAGUGUAGAGGUGAAAUUCGUAGAUAUUCGCAAGAACACCAGUGGCGAAGGCGGCUUACUGGUCCGGUACUGACGCUGAGGUGCGAAAGCGUGGGGGAGCAAACAGGAUUAGAUACCCUGGUAGUCCACGCCGUAAACGAUGGAGGCUAGCCGUUGGCGAGCAUGCUCGUCAGUGGCGCAGCUAACGCAUUAAGCCUCCCGCCCUGGGGGAGUACGGUCGCAAGAUUAAAAACUUAAAGGAAUUGACGGGGUCAUAGCUGUUU
rnacentral:rRNA from 1 species